ACGUCUUCGUACCUCUAUGGAAAUGAACCUCCACUCAGCAUGCAUGGAAAAUUAGUGAAAUGAGGUCACCAGGGCUCUGUUAAUGGUAUGAGGCCCCCCUAUGGAAGCCCACUUCCACCCUCCUUGGAAGGCUCAGUGUUUCUCUCCAAUGUUGUUACCCCUACAUUAGAAAGCAAGUGCAGGGCCUGAAUCACAGCUGUGUGACCUCAGCCAAUUGAUGAAAAACAGAAGAGAGGAACGAGGAAAAGAUUUGGCGCAGAUUUGUCU